AAGACUAUAGACCUGCGGAGUACCUGCGGAAGGAUCAUUAACGUAUCUCCCACCGGGGGUCGGGUGGCCCCGCUCCGGUUUCCGACCGUGCAGCGGGCCUCCGCCCCUGGACACUACAAACCCACUGUGCACCUUUUCGUGGCGAGAGGACGCGGCGCGAGCCCGUCCGAACCCACGGUCUCACAGACACGAGUUUGAGAAUGUCUGAGCGGACUCUGCUUCCGCCCACAAACGUAACAA
rnacentral:misc_RNA from 1 species